UAAAGCCUUAGGGCGCUUGAGACGUGGGCUUGCGUCCGAUUAGCUUGUUGGUAGGGUAAAGGCUUACCAAGGCGAUGAUCGGUAGCUGGUUUGAGAGGAUGAUCAGCCACACUGGGACUGAGACACGGCCCAGACUCCUACGGGAGGCAGCAGCAAGGAAUAUUGCGCAAUGGGCGAAAGCCUGACGCAGCGACGUCGCGUGGGGGAUGAAGGCCUUCGGGUUGUAAACCCCUUUUAUCAGGGAAGAAUAAUGACGGUACCUNAGGAAUAAGUCUCGGCUAACUACGUGCCAGCAGCCGCGGUAAUACGUAGGAGGCGAGCGUUAUCCGGAUUUACUGGGCGUAAAGAGCGCGUAGGUGGCUCUUCAAGUCGGAUGUAAAAUCUCCCGGCUCAACUGGGAGGGACCAUUCGAUACUGUCGGGCUAGAGGGCAGCAGAGGGAGAUGGAAUUCCCGGUGUAGUGGUGAAAUGCGUAGAUAUCGGGAGGAACACCAGUGGCGNAAGGCGGUCUCCUGGCUGUACCUGAC
rnacentral:rRNA from 1 species